GACGAACGCUGGCGGCGUGCUUAACACAUGCAAGUCGAACGGAAAGGCCCUGCUUGCAGGGUGCUCGAGUGGCGAACGGGUGAGUAACACGUGGGUGAUCUGCCCCUUACUUUGGGAUAAGCCUGGGAAACUGGGUCUAAUACUGGAUAGGACCAUGCUGUAGGUGGUGUGGUGGAAAGAUUAGUUUCGGUAAGGGAUGAGCUCGCGGCCUAUCAGCUUGUUGGUGGGGUAAUGGCCUACCAAGGCGUCGACGGGUAGCCGGCCUGAGAGGGUGGACGGCCACAUUGGGACUGAGAUACGGCCCAGACUCCUACGGGAGGCAGCAGUGGGGAAUAUUGCACAAUGGGCGCGAGCCUGAUGCAGCGACGCCGCGUGGGGGAUGACGGCCUUCGGGUUGUAAACUCCUUUCAGCCAUGACGAAGCCCUUGUGGUGACGGUAGUGGUAGAAGAAGCACCGGCUAACUACGUG
rnacentral:rRNA from 1 species